UAGACCCUUGCUACUCAAGCUGUGGUCCAGGGACCAGUACUAUCAGCUCACUUGGGUUCAUGUUACAGAUGCCGAGUCUCUGUCCCCAAACAACACGUGUGAAGAAUCUGCAUUUUGACAAGAACUUCAGGUUGUUCCAAUACUCACCAAAGUUUGGGAAACAGAUUAGAGAUUUGAUAUUUGUUCCGUACCUACUACAUAUCUGCACCAGCCUGCCAAGGUCAAUGCUAUUACAACUGAACAAACAUGGAAAAGGGUUUGUGACUUCUCCCGGGUCUUAUAUGCAGUUAGUGGCAGCAUCCAGAUAUGGGCCCUAGGCGUGGCCCUGACCUGGAUUCUAGAAGCUGAGGUCUGAGAUUAUCCUGUUAUUUUCAGGUUGGUGUCCUUGGACUUCAGGAAGAUGGUAAUGGCUACUGGGAGCCAUUUUUAGCAUUCCUCAAAGCCCAACUGUUAUCUCCUACUUCAUCCUAGUCAGAUCGUAGGGACAUGAGCUCAGGCACAAAUGCCUUUGCUUUUGGCAAGAAUUAUAAUGGGCCAUCCUGGAAACUGGUUAUUUCCUGGGGAGAAGGAGUUUGGAUUGGCAAUCAUACAUGUCCUUGAUUAAUGAAAAAUGGAGACAUAAAUUAAUUACCUUUCAAAAAUUUGACGUGUAUAGGAGACAAUGGCUUUCAAAUUGCAAAGUUCAUAGUGGGGAGGAGAUUAUAAAAGGAGUCCCUAGGGGUUUAGUAACAACUUUUCAUUUGUGUUGAAGAAGAAAGCCCGUGGACCAACGUCACUAACCAUCAGGGAAAUGCAAAUCAAAACCACAAUGAGCUGUCACUUCACACCCGUUGGAAUGGAUAUUAUCAGAAAGACAAGAGAUAACAAGCACUGGAGAGGCUGUGGAGGAAAGGGAACCCUCACGCACCCAUUGGUGGGAAUGUAAAUUGGUGCGGCUACUGUGGAAAAUAACUGAUCUGCCCAAGAAGGAGACCUACCCAGAAGGGUUCACAGAGGCUCUUCUCCUACUUGACAAAAAAUAGACCCCUCUCAUCCCAAACCUUAACAGGAUGUUUUGCCCUUGGAUUUCAAGCCACCUGCGGUGUCAAACAAAGGGAUAAAUUGAAAUGCUAGUUUGGAAUGGCCUUUCAUCUUUGGCUGAGCGCCACCACAGACGGGGAACUCACUCCCUCACUGUGCAGACCUGCCUGCUGCCGGCCACCCCUCAGUUCUUUGACCCCACUUGGAGCUAGGAACGUGUGCCCUUCAAGGAAUGCUCACUAUCUGCCAGACUAUGCCAGGCAUUUCCUGUGCAGGUCUUCUUUCGUCCUCAUAAUAACUCUCUAAGGUAGGUACUCUUAUUAUCCCCACUUUGAAGAAUGAGCAAAACAAGUCACAGAGGGUUCAGGAAGCUGUUCAGGGUCUCACAGGCAGUAAGUGAUGAAGCUGGUGUUUUCCAAAAGGCUCAUUCCAGAGCUUGUAAGCCCGUGGCUUUCAGUGUUGGAGAAGAAGAGCUCAUGUUGGUUGAAUAUUUACUAGAAACCGGGCUAUGUUCUGAGGUGUCCCCUAUAUGCUGUCGCGUUUCAUCGUAACAAGCUGUGAGGCAGUUCUUAGUGUGCCCGUGUUAGAAACGAGGACCGGAGUGUCCGGAGACCGUGAUUCAGCCAAGGUCACCAGCAGAGCCACGCUUGUGAAAAGCUGCCAUUCUGGAAACUGAGACUCUGGAAAUUUAGGAGUUUGUCUGAGGUUUGAGCUAGAAGUCUGAGCAGAACUCAGAAGGUGGCCCGACUCGACCACGAGCUCUUCCUUGGCUUCCUGCUCACCUCCAACCCUGCGCCUUCCCUCUCCUGUCACCUGGGUCCUGGAAGACAAGACAGGGCCCUCUGAGGAGAGGCUAACCCACCUCCCUGUCUCCCCCAAUAGCUUUAACAUGCUUUCCAUGUAGCUGGUUAAGUGUGGGUCUAACUGCCCAAGUGUGAGGACCACCUAACUAGAGACAGCUCAUGGUCUCUUCCAAGUUUGGAGUUCUAAGAAUCCCUCCAUCUCUCCUUGGUCAUCUUCAGAAGAGGGUCAUGUAAAGCAAUGUAAAUUUGGAAGUCAGAAAGACGUGGGUUCCAAUCUCCUCUGUGUGACUAAAAGCAGAUUGAGCAACCUCCCAGAGGUGCGGUUUCCUUGUCUACAGGAUGGAGAUAAAAAUGACUGCCUUGCAUGGUAGUCAGUCUGCCUGUUUUGGAAGAGGGGCUGCCUCCUAGAAGUACUUUCUUCUUCUUUUUUUUUAAUGUUUAUUUAUUUUUGAGAGAGAGAGAGAGAGAGACAGAGUGCGAGCAGGGCAGGGGCAGAGAGAGGGGAAGACACAGAAUCCAAAGUGGGCUCCAGGCUCCGAGCUGUCAGCACAGAGCCCAAUGUGGGGCUCGAACUCACGAGCUGUGAGAUCUUGACCUGAGCCGAAGUCGGAUGCUCAACCGACUGAGCCACCCAGGUGCCCCCC